rnacentral:misc_RNA from 1 species
CCAACCUAACCCCAACCUAACCCCAACCUAACCCCAACCUAACCCCAACCUUUUUUUUUUUUUUUUUUUUUUAUACGUGGGGAAAUCCUCAUGGACACCCGGGCGCCACCAGACGCGUCCGGGUAGUGUCGGACUCUUACCGACUAAAACCCCACGAUGACCAUCCUGGCGUCUUGUGGACUUAGGGUAGGUUCUCUUGCGAAUACGACCACCGCUUGUAGUCCGACGCCGCUGGUGUUGUCCUCCGAGAUGUUGUUCCGGAGCCAGAGGCAGGUCAUCCACCUCCGGCCACGUCGCCGUUGCCUACUUUCAGCCUCCGGGUCCCCCAGUUGGCGUCCGAGCUUCGUCCAUCUGCAGGUUUCAUCGGGGGGAGGGGGGAGAACUCGCCGUUCGGGGGCACCAAUCCCUACUAGGCGCUCUUGCCCCCACCCAGCCGGAAACUCUCGUCGGCGUACCACGAUGUCGCCCACAGGUGGAACGGUUGUCCCCCAAACCGACUUCCCCACCCGAACAUCCUCCUGGUGGCCCGUACUGCUUCCUCCUGGUUUGGGGUGCCCUCUAGUCUCUCCUGGUCCUUGGUGGAAUCCGAAAAAACCGGAUUUGGUCACCGCAAUCCAAAGCGCCAACGUCAUCACGGAGCGGUCACCCAUCCCAGACCGCCCCGCAACCUGGGGUGCUUAACUUUCGUGAUCUAACGGGAACGAGUGUUUCACCCCAGCCAACGGACGUUGACAACCUAACCCCAACCUAACCCCAACCUAACCCCAACCUAACCCCAACCUAACCCCAACCUAACCCCAACCUAACCCCAACCUAACCCCAACCUAACCCCAACCUUUUUUUUUUUUUUUUUUUCGUGGAGAAAUCCUCAUGGACUCCCAGCUGCGAGCAGCAUGGGAAGUGUCGGACUCUUACCGACUAAAACUCCACGGUGGUCUUCCAGACGGCUGUUCGAGGAGGGCUCAGGGUCUCUUGCGAAUACUACCAAGCGCUCCUCGCCGUCUAUCUCCCUGCUGGGCGGGAGACUUCCUUGUUAGACAGAAGAUCGGGGCCGCCAGGGGGGACCACGCCCCCUAGCGCCCCUUUCCUUGGGUCUUGUUACUUCCUUGAUGACUCCUUGGGCGCGAUUCACGGCGGCGGUACCGCCGGUCCGUGACGCGCGGAGACUCCUUGUUGCCGCGCCCUGCUGGUAUGCUGGGCUUUCUCUCUUUCUCUCUCCGCCCGCUCCUUCACGAGCAUAACUUGCUCGCAGAAGGUGCGGACGGCUCUGUAC